AUUGAACGCUGGCGGCAUGCCUUACACAUGCAAGUCGAACGGCAGCGGGGGAGAAGCUUGCUUUUCCUGCCGGCGAGUGGCGAACGGGUGAGUAAUACAUCGGAACGUGCCCUGUAGUGGGGGAUAACUAGUCGAAAGAUUAGCUAAUACCGCAUACGACCUGAGGGUGAAAGUGGGGGACCGCAAGGCCUCAUGCUAUAGGAGCGGCCGAUGUCUGAUUAGCUAGUUGGUGGGGUAAAGGCCUACCAAGGCGACGAUCAGUAGCUGGUCUGGGAGGACGAUCAGCCACGCUGGGACUGGGACACGGCCCAGACUCCUACGGGAGGCAGCAGUGGGGAAUUUUGGACAAUGGGCGAAAGCCUGAUCCAGCAAUGCCGCGUGUGUGAAGAAGGCCUUCGGGUUGUAAAGCACUUUUGUCCGGAAAGAAAUGGCUCUGGUUAAUACCUGGGGUCGAUGACGGUACCGGAAGAAUAAGGACCGGCUAACUACGUGCCAGCCGCCGCCGUAAGAC
rnacentral:rRNA from 1 species